rnacentral:rRNA from 1 species
GUGGGGAAUAUUGGACAAUGGGCGCAAGCCUGAUCCAGCCAUACGGCGUGGGUGAAGAAGGCCUUCGGGUUGUAAAGCCCUUUUGUUGGGAAAGAAAUCCUGUCGGUUAAUACCUGGCGGGGAUGACGGUACCCAAAGAAUAAGCACCGGCUAACUUCGUGCCAGCAGCCGCGGUAAUACGAAGGGUGCAAGCGUUACUCGGAAUUACUGGGCGUAAAGCGUGCGUAGGUGGUGGUUUAAGUCCGUUGUGAAAGCCCUGGGCUCAACCUGGGAAUUGCAGUGGAUACUGGAUCACUAGAGUGUGGUAGAGGGAUGCGGAAUUUCUGGUGUAGCAGUGAAAUGCGUAGAGAUCAGAAGGAACAUCCGUGGCGAAGGCGGCAUCCUGGGCCAACACUGACACUGAGGCACGAAAGCGUGGGGAGCAAACAGGAUUAGAUACCCCGGUAGUCC